rnacentral:tRNA from 1 species
GGAGGGGUCGCAUAGCUUGGCUUAGUGCGCCGGUCUAGAAAACCGGUGGCCCGCAAGGGCCCGUGGGUUCGAAUCCCACCCCCUCCGCCA